rnacentral:rRNA from 1 species
CCUACGGGAGGCAGCAGUGGGGAAUCUUCCGCAAUGGGCGAAAGCCUGACGGAGCAACGCCGCGUGAUCGAAUGAAGGCCUUCGGGUUGUAAAGAUCUGUUGACAGGGACGAAGACGCAAUGCGAAUAGGUUUGUGUAUGACGGUACCGGGUGAGAACGCGCCGGCUAACUACGGGCCAGCAGCGGCGGAAAUACGUAGGGAGCAAGCGUUGGCCGGAAUUACGGGGCGUAAAGGGCGCGUAGGUUGGCGCUUAAGGCAGGUUUGAAAACUCCGGGCUCAACCUGGAGACUGCACUUGAAACGUGGGGUCUUUGGGGCAGGAGAGUGCAGUGGAAUUCCUAGUGUAGCGGUGAAAUGCGUCGAUAUUAGGAGGAACACCCGUGGCGGCGGCGACUUUCUGGACUGUACCUGACGCUGAGGCGCGCAAGCGUGGGUAGCGAACGGGAUUAGAUACCCUGGUAGUC